rnacentral:rRNA from 1 species
GCGACCCCAGGAUGGAUGGGG